UACAUGGGGUGCAAACGUUGCUCGGAAUUAUUGGGCGUAAAGCGCACGUAGGUGGUCUGUUAUGUCAGAUGUGAAAGCCCUCGGCUUAACUGAGGAAGUGCACCUGAAACUGGCAGGCUUGAGUACUAAAGAGGGUCGCGGAAUUCCCGGUGUAGAGGUGAAAUUCGUAGAUAUCAGGAGGAACACCGGUGGCGAAGGCGGUUCUCUGGGCAUGACCUGACGCUGAGGAGCGAAAGUGUGGGGAGCGAACAGG
rnacentral:rRNA from 1 species